rnacentral:lncRNA from 1 species
UCAGAACAAAACUUUUAAAGCCACUUCGGUCCAUGCAACAUUUUCUGGUCAAACUGGCAAGUCCUUAACUGCAAAUGGACACAUGUAAAAACUAUAAUUUGCAAAAAGCUUGUUUGAUUCUCACAAAAAUUUGCAUAUUAAAUGGUGAAGGUAUAAUUGUAUAAUUUGAAAUGAUGAUAAAAGUAAGAUUUCAUGCAGAGCCCCUUUAAAUUUCUUUUGAGAUUCCUAAUAAAGAUAAUAACGCACAGAGGUAGCUACAUGUUUCAACGGUAUUGUGUAUGAGACAAUAUUACAGGAACAUGAAAACAUUUGUCCGUGUAAAUCGUCGUAGGGGUUAUAUACAAAGUGCACCGCUUAUGAAACAGGGUGACGUCAAUCAUAUUUUAUAACUUGCACAUUUUACCGGCAAUGAAAAAGAAGUCGUAAUAUAACAGAAUAGAAAGUGGAAACCCACAUGGCAUCUAACAGAACAACAAUGAAAAUUUUGCAGGUUCGUUUAGAUUGAGCCUAUUCAUAGAAAGAAGUGAAAAUGUUUGCUACCAUUCACAUUCUCUUAAAACUCAAAUAUUUGCACAUGUUUUAACCACUAAGACAUCAAGCAACAUUUAUGUUUUAUGUUAAAUGUAGGUGUUGAUGGUUAGCAAUUAUUCCAUUUCAGCGUUUUUGUGUACACCAUGGAGCACAUUUGGUUCAUGUUGAUGAUGCAACCGAGAACACCUUUCUGAAAAGUUACUUGUCAGAUCUGAAAGACCACUGAUUCUUUUAAAUAAACAAUGACACCGUUUACAUUACGAUCCGAUUCACUGGAUUGGCCUGACAGAUGAAGUGACUGAAGGUAUAUGGGUAUGUUACGACAAUAAUGAAACGGCUACGUUUACAAACUAGCACAAAAUAACAUCCGAACCCAAUGGAGGAAAAGCUCAAAAAUGUGUAUAUAUCGUUGAAGGGCAUGGGUAUGAGCGGAUUGAUGCACCUUGUGACUGGAAGAGGAAACCUGUGAGAAAAGAGUUCAAGAAGAAACGCAGAUUAUUGGAUAGAAGAGGUUCGCUGGAUGUAUAAUGGACGUUUGCAAAACAAGGGAUCUUAGUUCUAAAACUUAAGUAAAAGAAGAUAUUUUAUUGAAUAAAUAAUAGUGUAUGUCUUACCGUUGAAAUUGUUCCUCAGAUAAAAUAUAAACAAUUACAAAAUAUAUUAAUAAAGCAGUAAAUGAAGUGAGCGAAUUCAUUUUGCAAACAAGUUAAGGAAUUAAUAAAACUAUAAAGUAUUCCACUCAACCUGGAUUAUAUUUAUAAGAAUUGAUAAUUUAUUCUUGCUGAAUAUAACUGCGAUUAGGAUGGUUUUGUCUUACAACAAGGAUAUACACCGUUUACAAAACAAUAAGGAAUAUUUAGAACCGUUAAGUUCAAAAUACUUUAUCGCUGUAAACCCAAAGAUUCUCGGUUUUUACUUUUUUCUGAACCGAUGCAUUCAGAUAAAUUAAUAAAACAUGGUGGGGAUAAGAGUGAGGUUAGGUGCACCAUAAAGCGGUUUAAUCUCCCCAUUGGUCGUUUUCACUGUUUGCCUUGUUCUCGGUGCUUCCGAGGGAUCUUCUUUUCAGAUUUUAUUUCCCACUGACCGUUCCAAGGCGGUGUCCCAAUGUUUCCCUUUAUUUUAUAGUUUUGUCCUCUGUGUGUGUGUGUGUGCGUGUGUUUGUGUGUGUAUGUAUGUGUGUGUGCUGGUGUUGGUCGUGUGCGCGUCCGCGUGCUUGGCUUACGUUUUGGUAGGCUGCGUGUUUAGAACGUGGCCUUCCCUAGUGGAUAUUCAUCCUUGUUUUUUACCAUAUACUGGCACAAUCAGCAAAGAAUUACCCGUAAAUAGUGUAUCCGGAGUUCCAUAACAUAAUAGCUAUCACUAAGUUUCUAAGCCUUCUUAAGAAAUAUAGCAAAGAUUUUCUAUCUAAGAUUUUUUCUCUCUUUGUCAUCUCACGAUCUGGAGGUCAUUGUCUUUAAAGUCUUAUUCGUUUUUGACAUACUCAUUCUUCUUUUUUCUAAUAAUAGAAAUAUUACAAUGUCACUCUUAUUUUGUUAUUUUUUUCUAUAUGCGCAUCUGUUUCACGAAGCAUUGCAAUAACAUAACUUGGCCGGAUAUUAACAUGGUGCUUUGAAGAGCUACAUUUUUGGCCAUAAUUAUUUUUGAGUUAGGGAAAUGUCUGUUUUCAGUGAAGAAAUAAAUUGAGGUUAUGUAGUUGUCGUCUGGAUAUAAAAUACAUUGUACUGUUAAAGUAGGUGGAGGUGGAAGUCAUUCACGAGUUCUUCGAAUAGCCAAAUGCACGAGGAACGUUCGAAAAUUAUUGUGUAUUGUGGUCUGAAACCUUGAAAACUGAUGGAAACUUGCAUUUCAUACCCUCAAAAUACUCCCCGUGGUGAGGAAUGCAUAAAUUUAGUCUUUGGAUCCAUUUCCGGAAAGCGUCAUGGUAGGCUCAAAUGUACUCAUGGACAGCAGAACCAAUAGCUGGUCGCGACCGAUAUCUACGACCAGAAAGGAAGUUUAACAGUUUUGGAAACAUUCAAGAUUUUCUUUAAUUUUAAAUAAAAUGAACUGUUGAUAGUGGAAUGCAAACGAUGCAUGCAAUAUAGCGUACAGUAUAUCAAGCUUCAUUUUGAAGGAUAUCUGUGAUUUUCAAAAUAUAUUGGUCACACGUUGCUGUCUUUGGCCGACCUGAUUUUGGGGCAUUUUCGACAGACUAUAAACCACAAUCAAGUUUCUUUUUCCACCUACGAACCGUCUCAUAAGACAACUUACUACACCCAUUAACACGGGUUACUUCGGCAUAGAACAACCGAGUUUACUGCGAACUUUUAUAUAUGACCGAAUUUCUCCAGUAUGUAUUAUUCGUUUUCCAACCAAUUUGUCUAAAGUGGCCAACGACUGUCCAAACUGAAAUAGCGACAAAUCGGUAAAACGGUUAUUGAAUGGAUACAUGUAUAUACCAUUGUGUAGAUAUUGAAUAGAGGUAAUCAGCUGAAUAAAA